CCUACGGGAGGCAGCAGUGGGGAAUUUUGGACAAUGGGCGCAAGCCUGAUCCAGCCAUGCCGCGUGUGGGAAGAAGGCCUUCGGGUUGUAAACCACUUUUGUCAGGGAAGAAACGGUCUGAACUAAUACUUUGGACUAAUGACGGUACCUGAAGAAUAAGCACCGGCUAACUACGUGCCAGCAGCCGCGGUAAUACGUAGGGUGCAAGCGUUAAUCGGAAUUACUGGGCGUAAAGCGUGCGCAGGCGGCUUUGCAAGACAGAUGUGAAAUCCCCGGGCUCAACCUGGGAACUGCAUUUGUGACUGCAUGGCUAGAGUACGGUAGAGGGGGAUGGAAUUCCGCGUGUAGCAGUGAAAUGCGUAGAUAUGCGGAGGAACACCGAUGGCGAAGGCAAUCCCCUGGACCUGUACUGACGCUCAUGCACGAAAGCGUGGGGAGCAAACAGGAUUAGAUACCCUGGUAGUCCACGCCCUAAACGAUGUCAACUGGUUGUUGGGAGGGUUUCUUCUCAGUAACGAAGCUAACGCGUGAAGUUGACCGCCUGGGGAGUACGGCCGCAAGGUUGAAACGUCAAAGGAAUUGACGG
rnacentral:rRNA from 1 species